rfam:Orientia tsutsugamushi str. Gilliam got.contig.2_1, whole genome shotgun sequence.
AAAAUCCAGUUAUGGAAGGAGAAGCUACUUCCACUAUAUAGCAAGUCUUGUGCUGCUGAAGGUAGCAACAGUAGUAAAGCGUAGACAGUGAAACAUUCGAGCCGAAACCAAAUGGUGAACGUGAUAGCCAUGAAAGUAAGAUGUAGUGGAAGCUGAUAUGUUAUACCACAUAGUAUGCAAAAGAAGAUUGGAGGUCAAAUUAGUGAAAAUCCAAAAGUUUUCAACCACCGGGGCGCAUGUGUC